rnacentral:rRNA from 1 species
CAGCAGCCACGGUAAUACGUAGGUGGCAAGCGUUGUCCGGAAUUAUUGGGCGUAAAGGGCUCGCAGGCGGUUUCUUAAGUCUGAUGUGAAAGCCCCCGGCUCAACCGGGGAGGGUCAUUGGAAACUGGGAAACUUGAGUGCAGAAGAGGAGAGUGGAAUUCCACGUGUAGCGGUGAAAUGCGUAGAGAUGUGGAGGAACAUCAGUGGCGAAGGCGACUCUCUGGUCUGUAACUGACGCUGAGGAGCGAAAGCGUGGGGAGCGAACAGGAUUAGAUACCCCCGUAGUCCCUGUCUCUUAUAC